GUCCCGAAUUUGCCCUCAACUUCCCCCAACUUCCAUUUUCGCAGGGCAUCCACUACAAACUCCGAUCUCAGCUUUCCAAUUUUUGUGAGAACUGUUGGAAACGAUUUUUGUCCUACAAUUUCUCAGCAAUCACAGUACAAAAGCGCUUCCACCACAACAAAACUCGAAAGCUACCGCUGAUCUAGACAGUCUGAGAUAGUUUUGGUGUGAUUGUGCGAAGAUAUCAUCUCAACGCAGCAAAUCUCAAUUUUUCUUCAGGAUGGAUAACAACAGACAGCGAAAACGGAAGGAGACCGAGACUGUUGUUAUUAUGCUCGAGGAUAUCGUCCGUAGAGGGCAAUCAAAAGGGCCUCCUCCUCGCGUUUGGUCCACGAACGGCGAGUUCGGUCGCCCUUCACCUUCUCCAACUUCCCAACAAUUGCUACACCUGCAAAAUACGGCAUCAGUGAAGUAAAUGUACUGAACGACUAUGAGCAUGGAGUUAAAUUAUGCUCGAGGAUAGAAACUCUCGAUUCCAACUGA